rnacentral:lncRNA from 1 species
GUACUUCCCCUAUGAGGAGGAUAAUCAUAGGUUAGUACGAGAGAUUGGCAAUGUAACAGAUGGUGUUGAGAUCACCUUCCAGUUUGCAGUCAGACCAGAAAAAGUUGAAAGUAAGCACAAAAUAAAAUAUACAGUGCAAUCAAAAAACAAUAAUAAAUGAGCAUUUUCAUAUGGAACACAAAAUGUAGAAUUUUUUUAAUCUGUGUUUUUUAGGUUUCCAACAACGGGACCGGGUCCCUUUUCAGCUGCAGCUGAGUUUCAAGACUCGAGAUUUGCAGAAAGUGACGAGAGUCAUCACUCAACAGAAACGUGUCACCACAAGCAGGCAAACCACUAAAAAUUCUACACAAUAACAGCAAACACCCUGCAGAUCUAUGACUGACUCAUCUCACUUUAUAUCAGCUGUUUCACAUGCAAAAUAUCUGCAAAAAUUAUGGAGGGCCGGGUACAGGAAGCACAGAGACAACUCAGAGCUCAGCAGGACCUUCUCAAAGACAUCAGUCAACAGAAGCCGAGCCCUAAAGAAGAGAGUAUCUAUGGGAACUGGAUAAGCACCAUGAGUAUGAUCUGUGAAGACCUCACCACUGUCAACCAGAACACAACAGAUACUGACAACACACAAGCAUCCCGAACACCUUCCACUGCGAGUCUCUCAGAUGCGGCGGCCAAGGUGGUCUACCAAAUGAAGAGAGCGAAGAGCGUGAGCGGAAAGCGACAGAGAGUUGCCAUGAUGGAGAACUGAGCUCAGAUAUCACCAAGACUCAUGAGCGGUCAUUUAAAUGUGAAACCAGUCAUAUAGGCUGCUAUAUCAAUCUCAAACUAUGGACAAUGAAUACUGCUUGGAAUAUAUGCAAUAUAAAAUAUAUGCAAACUAUGUGUCGAUAACCUAGAAUCCAGCUGGUUAGUUCCUUGUCAUGCCAUCACUGCUGUAUUUAUCUUUGGCUGACAUUUUUGCGUGAGUAACUUGAAUGUAUGUCAGAUUACCAGCUUAGAUACUAGGGACUGUAUUAAUAAAUAUAAUGCAAUCAAAUAAAACAUGUUUUAUAGAAAUCACAGACUGAUUCAUCUUACUCUUUCUACUUACACCACAUUAAAAUCUUCAAAUCAUUUUAUAAUGUAUGCCGAUUUAAAGGAUAAAGAACUGGUAAAAGUGUGUCAACAGAACCAGCUUUAGUGAUGUACGUGACACAAAUGCCCUGAUCAUUCGCACUCUGUGUUCUUUCUUAUCUCUCUCUCUCUGUUUUUCCCCUAAUGUUAAUGGCAGAUGUAGAGUAGCAUUUGACUUUUGAAAUACUUCUCUUGAAAUGAGGCGAUUCUAUCUGUCUCUCUGCAGACGGUAUGUACCUAGAAACCUGUCGCCAUCUGGUUCUCCCUUAAAAAAACAUCUGUUUUUCUACAGAUUUAACACUACGUCAGGUUUUUCCAUAAUGAGGCUUUGUUUUGUACAUAUGACCUCUGGUUUACCCCACAAACUGACCGCACUUUAAAGAACUUUAAUUCAGUCAUGAUCAGCUCCAGAUCUCUGUAGAAUCACAGGUUUUGCAGUGUUAUUUAUACAUUCAUUCAUCAUUUUAUUUCAGCUGCCGGUGAGCAUGUUGAACUGUCAUCUCAGUUUAACAUGCUUUACAAUAUUCAAAUUCAUUUAACAGAAUUCCACCAUAUUCUACCCAAAAAAAAAAAAAAAAAAAAGAAAAAUAAUAAAUACUCCAAAAACAAAAAAAAUAAAAAAAAAAAAUAAAAUACAUAAAAAAAGUUUCAAACAAAUGAUGCAAAACCUUUUCUCAGAAGAAAUUUUGUGGUCACGCUUUAUUUUAAGGUCCAAGUCCUGUUAUUAACAAACCAUUAACUAUGACUUUUGCCUCAAUAAACUCCUAAUUUGCUGCUUAUUAAUAGUCAAGGUAGUUGUUAAAUUUAGCUAUUGGAUAGGAUUAUGGAUUUACAACAUGUGCUUCAUAAGUACUAAUAAACAGCCAUUAUGUUAAUAAUAGGAAUGCUAAUAAGCAACUAGUUAAGAGUGAGAAUUAGUCUAAUACUGAAAUGUAGUAGUCCAAUUUUUCUGAAUUUUAGCAAUGACUUUUAUCCAACUGGUGUC